UGGUUCCUCCCGGGUUUCUCCCUGUAGCUUCUGGGUUGUUGAUGUUUGGACUCUUGUGAAGAUGGCUUGCGCUGCCCCACCGUCCCUGGCCAACCAGGACAGGUUUAUUUGUAUCUAUCCUGCUUAUUUAAAUAAUAAGAAGAUCAUCACAGAGGGAAGGCGAAUCCCCAUAAGUAAGGCUAUUGAAAAUUCUACAGCUACAGAGAUUCAAGAUGUAUGUUCAGCAGUUGGACUUAAUGUAUUUCUUCAGAAAAAUAAAAUGUACUCUAGAGAAUGGAAUUGCGACAUCCAAUACAGAGGCACAGUCUGGGUCCAGCUCCAACAAGAUGGCAGCCUUUGCCUUGUACAGUUCCCAUCACAUUAUACACUAAGCCUAACUUCUGGUUCCUGGGUAAGUCAGUAAUGCUGUAUGUAGCAGAAAUGAUACCCAAACUAAAAACAAGGACACAAAAAACAGGAGGUGGUGACCAAAGUCUUCAACAAGGAGUAAGAAGUAAAAAAGGGAAAGGAAAGAAAAAGGAGCAACCUAGGAUCAGCAUCAAGUAUGUGGUACUAUUUAGAAGACAUGAAUGGAGGCUUCUAAUUUGUAUCAGAGGAAAAGAGAAGCUUUAUGUUUGCAUCAUUGAACUGAACUGUGAAUACUUGUGCCUCUCAUCUUUAUCAUCAGAGCAGACAGUGAAAAAAAUUUCCAUCAGAAGUUUGCAUCUCGCUUUUAUGCAGUAUAAAAGACUUUUUUGUCUUUCAGUGCAGGUUUUUUUGGGAAGAAAGAAUAUUUUUAAAUGGAGAAUGGACUGUACAAUAAGUUACUUGAAAUAAGUUACUUGUUUCAGAUAAAUUUCAAUUAGAUUUGAAAUAAACAUUUGGUAUAUGUUUUAAGUUAAUGAAAUUAAAUUUGAAACUGAAAAAAAAAAAAAAAAGAAAGAAAAAGUGAUCAGAGUACACUAC